rnacentral:tRNA from 1 species
UCCGGGGUAGCUCAAUUGGCAGAGCGGUUGACUGUUAAUCAAUAGGUUCUGGGUUCGAGUCCCAGCCCCGGAG